CCUAUUUUUACACAUACAGUUGGUCCCCUGUAUUAGUGGAUUCUAACCCUUGAAUUCAGUGGUCUACAGACUGAAAAUAUCUCCCCUUCCCCCCUAAAAAUAUCCAAAAAGUAAGCAUUGAUUAUGCAAUUUUCUUUAAGGGACAUGUUUACUUUGCAAUUGUAUAUAAAAGAAGUUGAACAUCCAUAGACUCUGGUAUACAUAUGUGUGUGUUCAUGUUUAAGAACCCAACUCCAGUGCAUACAAAGCAUAUAAUCAAAAACAGUGAUUUGAAAUAACAAUUUCCAAAUUCUAAAUAACUUUGUUCAUAACUUCAUUCCUUUUUCCAUAACAAAGUUAUAACUACACUGCAUUUGUAACAUAACAUGUAAAUUAUGUAACAUAAAUUAACCUCAACAUUUCUGUAGUGCAAUUUUAAUUACUUUUAUUCUAUGGUGUGUUGCCUUACUAACUAAGAGGAAGAGAAUGUCACAUACUGCAUUGCUUGCAGGUGUCAAAACAACAACAAUAUAGUUGGGAGGAUAGUGUAUUUUGCAUCACAAGCCAAUAGCUUAUAGAAUCCAGAUGCUUUUCUUAUUAAAAAGUUAUAUCUGCUUUUCAGAAAUGAGUAAAGAAUUGCUUUUUAAAAUAGCAACUGUAAUGUAACUAAGGAGGGGAUGGAGUAAUAAAUGAAAAUGAAACAUUUGUUUUAAAAAGUAACUCAUUUAUUGUGUUAGUAGUUCAUCUUUCGGUACAGGCUCCCAAAGCAGCUUCUGAUGUCUGACCACAAAUCUGCCUCUACAACAUACUCUACAGCUGCUGCUUGAUGUAAACUAACCACCAAAAUGUUGGUUGCAAAAAGAAAUGGAGAAAAAAAAUCAUCUGUGGAGAAGGUUACUUAUUACAUCUGCUACUUACUGAUCAUGGAAGAACUGUUUAUUUCAAGGCUUAUUUUGGAGAGUAUAGCAAGCAAUAUGAAAUCCAGUGAUGACAGUGCAAAUGAAAUAGGAGCUCUGAAACAAUAUCUCAGUAGGACCAAUAAUUCACCCAUCUUCUAAACAUCAACAAAGAGUUUUCUUUUCCCCACUGAAAUGGGAACAAGUGUGAUAUGAUAGUUGGAGACUUGGACUUGGGAGAUCCAAGUUCAGGUUCCUACUAAACCAUAAAACCCACUGGGUGACCUUGAGCCAAUUAUACUUUAUCACCCAACCAAACCAGCUUCUUAUGAGGAUAAAAAGGGAGUAACAUGCAUUUUUCCUUGAGCUUGUAGAAAUAAUGAUGCGAUAUAAAUGAAAGUCAGAAAUUGUGCCCAUUACCCAAGAUCCAUUCUUGCAAAUGAUGUGAUGCACAGCAGAAUCUGCUCAAAUUAGUUGCCUCACAGGAGGUGAAAAUGUCCUCUAAUUUGUAGUUUGAAAUUUGGAUUUUUAUCACUCAACUCUCUGUGUUCUUGAAGGCUUUCACAGCUGGGAUCACAGGGUUGUUGUAUGUUUUCCGGGCUGUAUGGCCAUGUUCUAGAAGUAUUCUCUCCUGAUGUUUCACCCACAUCUAUGGCAGGCAUCCUCAGAGGUUGUGAGGUGUCCCACUUCUACAAUGAAGAGCAAUUAUUUUAGUGGAACACAAUUUUAGAGGAACCUGCUAUACACCAGUUAAUAUCAGUUGCAUAAGGAUUGGUGUCACCCACUGUGGUCAAGGCCAUAGCCAGAAAAAAAUUUCGAGUAGGGUUUUGAAAUUUGGGGGGGUUGGGGUUUGAACCUCUACCCCCCCCCCCCUCCGGCUACAGACCAGUUAAUAUCUCCUUUAGAUAGUGCCUGGAGGGACUCGUAAUUUUUUGCGUCUCAUAGACUUAGCAUGGGGAAUUGGUUAACCAGUUAAAAUUCAUGAGUAAACCAGUUUUUUUU
rnacentral:lncRNA from 11 species